ACCUGGUUGCUGUGGAGAUGAAAACAAUCUUAGUGCCAGUCUUCACAGAAUGAAUCAGUGGUGUUGACUUUAGUGAAGGUGGGGUUACACAGUGAGAAAGAGACACCGCUGCAGUGAGAGAGAUCCUAAACCAUACUUGGAAAAAUAGAGACGUAAACUGCUCUAUGAAGCCUCCCUGUGAGCAGACGUCUCCUGAGGCCGUCUGAAUGAGGCUGCAGUGAGUGUGUUCGUACCCGUGGCGUAGCUGACAGGCUCUGGACGAUGAAGACGACGGGGCUUGGCGCUAAUUUGAUGGCACCGACCGCCUCCUCGUGACUGGCAGCCCGGAGGAGUUAGACCCGUCCUUACCUCCAGGAUCUUGUCCCCGGUCUUCAGGCACUGAGUCUUGGCAGCAGGACUGUUCUGGAGAACCUGCUUUAUGAAGAUCCCCUUCAGCUCCUCUCCGUUCCUCAGACGUUUGAUCACAUGACGUCCUCCCACGAUGCUCAGCCCCAGAGACUGACCCUCCUCAGGCCAGACCUCCACCCUGCAGGACAUUAACACAGUUUAUUACCUGUACAGACAGGGUUUUACCUGCGGGGGGUCCCCAGUGACUGAAGGCUGGAGUCUCCUCUCCUUCCCCCUCCUCUCUCUCAGGAAGAUCACUGUAAAGGAAGUAUCUUACCCUCGACCUCCUCUGAUUGGCAGAGAAGCUCCUCCCUGACCCCGCCUCCUUCUCCUCUUCAUGUCAGUCAUCCUGACGGACCUACACGGAAAGAAAACAACAACAAAAUCAACCAUCAGUGACUUUCUCUCCUCAGAUUAACCACAGGUUCAGGUUUUCAAUCAUUGAGCUUUUGUGGCACCAAGACUGGAAAGAACUGGUCUGGGAUCGCCUCGGGAUUCCCCAGGAGGAGCU